rnacentral:rRNA from 1 species
UAAAAGUCGUAACAAGGUUUCCGUAGGUGAACCUGCGGAAGGAUCAUUACCUAGAGUUGUAGGCUUUGCCUGCUAUCUCUUACCCAUGUCUUUUGAGUACCUUACGUUUCCUCGGUGGGUUCGCCCACCGAUUGGACAAACUUAAACCCUUUGCAGUUGAAAUCAGCGUCUGAAAAAACUUAAUAGUUACAACUUUCAACAACGGAUCUCUUGGUUCUGGCAUCGAUGAAGAACGCAGCGAAAUGCGAUAAGUAGUGUGAAUUGCAGAAUUCAGUGAAUCAUCGAAUCUUUGAACGCACAUUGCGCCCCUUGGUAUUCCAUGGGGCAUGCCUGUUCGAGCGUCAUUUGUACCUUCAAGCUCUGCUUGGUGUUGGGUGUUUGUCUCCUGUAGACUCGCCUUAAAACAAUUGGCAGCCGGCGUAUUGAUUUCGGAGCGCAGUACAUCUCGCGCUUUGCACUCAUAACGACGACGUCCAAAAGUACAUUUUUACACUCUUGACCUCGGAUCAGGUAGGGAUACCCGCUGAACUUAAGCA